rnacentral:rRNA from 1 species
UACAGAGGUGGCAAGCGUUGUUCGGAAUUACUGGGCGUAAAGGGCUCGUAGGCGGCCAACUAAGUCGGACGUGAAAUCCCCAGGCUUAACUUGGGAACUGCGUCCGAUACUGGAUGGCUUGAAUCCGGGAGAGGGAUGCGGAAUUCCAGGUGUAGCGGUGAAAUGCGUAGAUAUCUGGAGGAACACCGGUGGCGAAGGCGGCAUCCUGGACCGGUAUUGACGCUGAGUGAGCGAAAGCCAGGGGAGCAAACGGG